CACGUAGGGUGCAAGCGUUGUCCGGAAUUAUUGGGCGUAAAGGGCUCGUAGGCGGUCCAUCGCGUCGGGAGUGAAAAGCUGGGGCUUAACCCCAGUCCUGCUUCCGAUACGGGUGGACUAGAGGUAGGUAGGGGAGAACGGAAUUCCUGGUGUAGCGGUGAAAUGCGCAGAUAUCAGGAGGAACACCAAUGGCGAAGGCAGCUCGCUGGGACGGUACUGACGCUGAGACGCGAAAGCGUGGGGAGCAAACAGG
rnacentral:rRNA from 1 species